UACGUAGGGUGCAAGCGUUGUCCGGAAUUAUUGGGCGUAAAGAGCUCGUAGGCGGUUUGUCGCGUCUGCUGUGAAAACUCGGGGCUUAACUCCGGGCCUGCAGUGGGUACGGGCAGACUAGAGUCCGGAAGAGGAGAAUGGAAUUCCUGGUGUAGCGGUGAAAUGCGCAGAUAUCAGGAGGAACACCGGUGGCGAAGGCGGGUCUCUGGGCCGAUACUGACGCUGAGGAGCGAAAGCGUGGGGAGCGAACAGG
rnacentral:rRNA from 1 species